CACGGGGGGAGCAAGCGUUGUUCGGAUUCAUUGGGCGUAAAGAGCGUGUAGGCGGCUAUUUAAGUCCUGCGUGAAAUCCUGCGGCUCAACCGCAGACGGUCGUGGGAAACUGGAUGGCUAGAGUGCGGGAGAGGAGAGUGGAAUUCCCGGUGUAGCGGUGAAAUGCGCAGAUAUCGGGAAGAACACCCGUGGCGAAGGCGGCUCUCUGGAACGCAACUGACGCUGAGACGCGAAAGCGUGGGGAGCAAACAGG
rnacentral:rRNA from 1 species